UUAAAUCCAAAUUAUCUUUGUAUUUCUCUUUUUAGACCUUUGUAGAAUCAAUACAUUGAAUCGUAAGGUAUUUGUUUUCAAGACCAUUCACUUCAUGAUUUCAAAAAAGCACAUUAUUUGAAAAAUAAAUAUUAUUGACUAGUUGAAAUAAAUAUUUUUGAAAUUCUAGGUACGUGCUUGAAUUUUAAGUGUAUUUUGGAAAAGUGUCUGUGAUUAUAUUGAUGAUUUAUUAUAUAUAGCGUUGAUGUUUCAGAAGUAGAAUACAUAUCUUGUAGAGGUGGAAAAGGGAAUAAGCUGGUUUUCAAGGGAUAUACAUAUUUCACAAUGCAUGGUAGACGGAGGUGGUAUUGCUCCAAAAAGGCCUCCGGUUGUAAAGCUGUUGUUCUUAUGCUGGGAGACCAGAUUGUAGAAAUUGGUGCACACGCCCAUCUGCCUCCAAAGUUAUUUAGACGUCCUGAUGGUACACUAAAUACGGUCUAGUUUUUACGAUUUUGACCAAGACUGUCAUAAAAACAUCCAGACAUUGCAGGGCGUAAAUAGCCAUUAGGUUAAUUAUUCAAUUAGAUUAGUUACAAAUGAAAUAAUUAAGCUUUAAUGAAGUUUUUUUUACGAAUGCUUGGGAGCCAUUGUAAAAACACAUUAGUUAAUUUAAAAAUAAAAACGACUGGCAAUUGACAUUGAGACUUAUAAUAAUUUCGAUAUUCGUUAUUGGCUUCACUUGCCUAGUCACAUAUUCUUGUAAUACACUUGAGAUUGAAUUGUAUGAAAAACUCGAUGCUGUUGAUGAAAUCUCAUAUGGGAUUAAUGUUUCAGAAGUAGAAUACAUGUCUUGUAGAGGCGGACAAGGGAAUAAGCUGGCUUACAAGGGAUAUACAUAUUUUGCAAUCCACAAUAGACGAAGGUGGUAUUGCUCCAAAAAGUCCAAAGGCUGUAAAGCAGUUCUUGUGCUGGGAAACCAGGUUACAGAAAUUGGUGCACAUGACCAUCUGCCUCCUCAGUUAUUUAGACGUCAUGAUGGCUCACUAUAUUCGAUUUAGUUUUUAGGAUUUUGACCAGAACUGUCUAAGUAACGUGCAGUAUUUGCAGGGAACACAAUUGAGUAUAUUCCGAGUAAACGUGGCAAGUACAUUGCAGUGUUCAAAGGGUACACGUUCACAUGCGCAUAUAGUAACAAUCGAUGGUAUUGUUCUAAAAGAUUGGAUGGAUGUAAGAGUAAGCUGUGGACAACACCAGAAGGGCUGGUUUCAGUUGCACAGGGGGAACAUAAUCAUCCACCGCCAAAACUCCACCGUACUGAUGAUGGUAAAAUUGUAAGGGUUUAGAUACGAUUGUUUAACUAUUCGGUCUAAUAUUUGUAAUAUUGUAAUUGUCUAUUGAAAAAAGUGUUUUUGCACCUAAUGGAUUAAAAAACGCCUCACGUAAUUUAUGUAGAUUCCAACACUUUACCUUAAUUCUAAUUUAAAUUAUAAGUACUAAUUAAUAACUACUUGUACCAGACAGAUAUUUUAAAAUGAUAAUAAAUGAUUGGUAAACUGUAAAA